UCCUAGCAACAGGAAACAUCAGCUUCCACGAGGACCAAUGAGGGCGCGCGGAGAGCGGUGUGUGUUGUCUCUUGUUGCUGUGAACGGAAUAUUUUAGGAGACUGGAGAGCAGCGAGCGUCUCACCCCGGAGGAGGAGGCUGGAGCCGGUGUCUGUCCGCCCGUCUGUCUGUCUGCAGGGACCGAGAGAAGCUCUGACUUCAGGCCGAGCUCUAGCGUCGCCGAAUUGGUGUGAGGACGGUAGAUGUCGCGCCAAAGAGCGGAGGACAUCCAGAGAGAGAGAGGCUUUAUCGGGGAUUUACUGAAGUACUGCUGGACAGAAACAUUUACAGGAGCCUGAGGGCGAUGUGGAGGCUCGGAUCGUCUCAGACACACUGAUUCAAAAUCCUGAUCUGAGAGCUGACUGUGGGACAUCAACAGCAGCAGCCCCUUCCCUGUGAGAGAGAGACCAAACCAUUCAACAACGUCGAAAGUUGCCUACUUCAAGAGGAAAUAUGCGGAGGAAGAGGAUUUACAGGGAAGCCUACAUGGAUAUUUUCAAAAACACCUGAUACUGCAGGAGGAUCGGAGCUGCAUCCUGAAGCUGUCCCUGGAGAAGCUGAGGUUCCUGGAGGACCCUGAGGCUUACCUGAGGCGCUCCGUCCUCAUCAACAACCUGCUAAGGAAGAUCCACCAUGAGGAGGAAGAGCUGGAGGCUGAAGAGGAGGAGGAAGAAGAAGAUGAAGUAGAAGAAGAGGAAGAAGAAGAGGAAGAAGGAGAGGAGGUUAUAGCAGAGAAGGGCCAGCGGAGGCUGUUGUAUCCAGACAGGAAGAAGGUAAAGGUGCUGGUGAUGGACUGCUGCUCUCCAACAUUUGGCCUCGAGGAGCUGCAGCAUUACCGACUGGUGCCCUGUUAUCCAUCGGCUGGAUGCCUGUACAGCCUGGGUACCUGCCCGGGUCUCGCCCCCAACCACCAGGUCCUUCUGUACAACCUGGAUGACAACGGCUGACUGUCCAGACAUCACCGUCAUGCCUCUUUUCAAAGCUGGGUAAUGCAACGUCAGAUCAUGUUACGAGGAUGUGGAGGAAAGCUGCUGUUGUUGUUCCCUCGGUUUCCCUUUGGGGGACACGUGUCCUAGGGUCUGUUUUGUUCCAGGAUGCGACCCCCUCUUGUCACCUCGAUAAGAGGCAGCGGUGGAUCUGAGACACUGAGAUAACCCUGAUUCUUCUUCUGCCUCAGGAUCAACAGGGUCUCUGACACUGAUGUCAGAAUGAUGUCACUGCCAUUUACUAUAAUGUGAGAGACUCUGAAGCAGGCAGGAUUUUUUUCGGCUGUUGAUGUUGUGUUAUUGAUUUUUAUUGUUAUUGUUGCUCAUGUGAACUGUGAGCAUAUUCAGGGAUUUACAGACUGUAGGCUAUUUUUGAUGCACCUUGGCUUGCGUGGAGAAUAUGUGCUGACAUGCUUCUGUUAUCUUUUUAUGCUACCGUGUGAUUUAUGAAAUAUUCUGUGUGAACAUUCCCUGGACUGUGUGAAUACUCAUUCUAUGAGGUGCCCGUGAAAAAGACUGUUUCUUUCUCUGUACUCUCUGUACUAUGUCCCGGGUUCAUUCAAUGAUGCUGUUAGUCAUUUCAUUUUGCAUCACUUUGCUGCCCUCUGCUGGUGUAGGGUGUGUUCAAAGAUGGUAACACUUUACUGUGAGUCCUCCUAUUUAACAUUUAUAAGCAGUAUAUAAACAUCUGAUGAAUAGUUUAACACACAUAAUGCAGUUGUAUGCAGAUAUGUGUUAAGUUAAUAUAUUUGUCAACAAAUAUAACUUAUGAAUGGAGGCUGGCAUGUAAACAUAAUGAAUGAAUUAUAUUAAAAUAGUAUUAACUAUGUCAUAAAUUGUUAACAAAUAUUGUCCAUUAAUAAACACUUAAAUUGUCUUUAUAUCUGCAUACAGCUACAUUAUAUUGAUAUAUAACUUAUUUAAUUAAUAUUAAGGACACAUAAAAGGUUCAUAGUCAACUAAAUCAAAAGAGACAAAAUACACAAUAAAAUAAAUUCAUAGCAACACAUACACAACUUAAGAGACAGAACUCUUUCCACAGACAAACUCGACACAGUGAGGUCAUUUUGUUAAGCCUGCACAUAUCUGUAUGUGUGAUUUCAUAUUGUAGCAGAGCAGGUCAGCACACCAACACAUUUGGCUGGUACUACGCCAUUGUGGACAUUUAAGGAGCGUCUCAUGCCGCAUCAUCGGCCACGUUGAGUCUCUGCAUGUUGAACACCACAGGUGGGCUGUAUAUAACGGGGUUCAAAAAGCUAAAAAUAAAGCUAAAUUGAAUUUAAACAAGUAUAUUAGCUUGUUCAUACAGCUUAUGGUGCUGUCUGUGGAUGUCUUCAUCAUCUGAUAGAUCAGUGACAAUGUGAUGGCUGAGAUAUUUACUAUACUAAUUCAAUACUAAUUUGAAAAUAUAAUAUAUUUGGAAAUAUUGCCAGCCAACAACCUGUCAUGACAAAUAAUCCAUAUGCACAUUAAAAAGAAAAGGCCCUGUCGGAGUCCAUUAUUAACAUGAAAUGAUUUUAAUAGAGAAUUUCCCCAAUUAACUUGCAUAGACUGACGAACAUACCAGACCCAGACCUCUCUGAGCUUCACCAUAUUGCGUCAUUUUUCAGGAUUUGUGUGUUCAAAAAAAUAGUGAUAUAGUAUUUAUAUUGUUAUAAACCAUAAAGUGUAUUAAAUGUUAAUACUAUACUGCUUUUAAAGCUAAAUACUUGGGGUACUCAAGUAAAGUUGCUUUCUGUUGCUUGUUUUAAAUGUGGUUUACAUUUAUUUCUUCUGCUCCCAAAAAAGUUAUUUGUGGAUGAUUCUCAGCCUAGUGUUUUGAAGCUGAAAGAGCAGAAUGUCUUUAAAUUGAUAUUAUAUUUCAAUUUUUCCUCCCUGUCAGUCCUGGUUAUAAUGGCAGCUGAGCAUAGGGACUAAGUUUGGCUAAAUUGUCAGAAGAUAUUUUUUAUUAUUUAAUGUGGCACAUGCUUUAUAAAGCGGACUAAUCUGCUGUGGAAUGACAGUUAUAAUUAACGAUUCAUCCUUUUUUCCAGUGUCUCUUUCUGUGUUUUAAUUGUUCUGUCUUUGUCCAGGACUUUCACUGGGUUUGAAAAGUUGCAUCAUGGUAACAAUCACUACAAUGGAAAACAAACAUCAA